AUAAGCGUUGUCUUUGGUGAGAGAUCUGAGGUACAAGUGACCUGUGGAUACAUCCACCAAAAGAAUUUGAAUGGCAUGACUGGACAAGUACAAACUACAUGAGCCCUCGAUUGGAUGAAUCAUUCACCUGAAUUUUACAAAAGGCUGCAAAAAUCAGCACUUGAAAAGGUCUUUUGUUUUUCCUCAGAAAACAAACCCAAACCCGGAACUAAGUAAGGAGAGAGACAGAGAGAGGGAAAAAAUGAAACCACUACACCCAUG